rnacentral:piRNA from 1 species
UUCUCUCCGUUCUUUAUCUGUGGCCU